AUGAGCUUACAUACACAUAUUCCAUCUCCUUGUCUGUACAGUGUUAGGCAAUGCAGGUAUCUGGUAUUUUUGCAUAUGUGGGAUGUUUCUAAGGACAUGGAAUUCAAAGUUGGAUGCAGACAGACUACUGAGUUUACCUGGGUACGUAAAGAAUACUUGCACUUUUGUGAUCAAUGCUCUCUAUUCAGCAAAAUUGCUUUUAAAUGUUAACUUUGCCAUCCCUUUAGAAAACGCCUCUUGAGGCAUAGUGAGGUGCAAAUAAUUCUUGGGAAUAACCUUUCUGAUGUCUUGAAUUGCUCCAAUGAUGCCUUGGAGAAAAUCUACUUUAUGGGAUGAAGACUGCUCACUGCAGGAGAGAAACUCGCCUGUGCUUCUGGAGGAAUUAAUUCCUGCAAGCCUCAAGAGCUGUUUAACAAAAGCUUUGACACUAGCUUGGUAGCAAGUGUCACAUUCUUUUUGGUUCUAACCACAUUUUUUGGAUGGUGUUUGUCCCAGCCCCAGAUCUGCUACUUCUGUGAAGGCUGUUUCAGUUCAUCGAAGGAGAAGGGAGCAAAGAGAAGGUAAGGGGAUCUGGUGCCAUUAUUCUUCCUGCUUUUUAUUGCUUUGCUUUCCAUAAUUUUCUUGCCACUUGCUAUUUUUUGUGUUUGAAUUUCAGCUAAUCCCUCCACAUUCAUAUGUUUAAUGUGCUUGGUGGUUUUGGAAGAGAUGUUGAAUUUACUUACACCUAAAAGUGUUAACUGCACUUUUAUUAUACUAAGCUAUUUUAAUAUCCAGUGGAAGACAAAUCAUCUUGCUUGUUUACAGCAUCAGCAUACUUGAUGCUGCCUGUUUGGUCCUUCUUGGCCUGUAGUGUUAUGGACUGACUCAUUCAUUUGGGGAUUUUUGUUGUUUUUUUUUCUUCAGAAAGGUCCCAGUUACUUCCACCCAUCAGUAGCAGAACGUAAAAGAUACCUUUGCACCUUGAACUUAAGCUAGAGUGGAUGCUUCUAUUUAGAAAGUAAAUUAGCUAGAAGAAGGUGAAGAAAAGGAAAUAAACACCAGUACAGAGGUG